rnacentral:rRNA from 1 species
UACGGAGGGGGCUAGCGUUGUUCGGAAUUACUGGGCGUAAAGCGCACGUAGGCGGUUUCUCAAGUCAGAGGUGAAAGCCCGGAGCUCAACUCCGGAAUUGCCUUUGAAACUAGGUGACUUGAAUCAUGGAGAGGUCAGUGGAAUUCCGAGUGUAGAGGUGAAAUUCGUAGAUAUUAGGAAGAACACCAGUGGCGAAGGCGGCUCACUGGUCCGGUACUGACGCUGAGGUGCGAAAGCGUGGGGAGCAAACAGG